UACAGAGGUCUCAAGCGUUGUUCGGAUUCAUUGGGCGUAAAGGGUGCGUAGGCGGCGCGGUAAGUCGGGUGUGAAAUCUCGGAGCUUAACUCCGAAACUGCAUUUGAUACUGCCGUGCUUGAGGACUGGAGAGGAGACUGGAAUUUACGGUGUAGCGGUGAAAUGCGUAGAUAUCGUAAGGAAGACCAGUGGCGAAGGCGGGUCUCUGGACAGUUCCUGACGCUGAGGCACGAAGGUCAGGGGAGCAAACGGG
rnacentral:rRNA from 1 species